UGGGGAAUAUUGCGCAAUGGGGGAAACCCUGACGCAGCCAUGCCGCGUGAGUGAAGAAGGUCUUCGGAUCGUAAAGCUCUUUCAACGGUGAAGAUGAUGACGGUAGCCGUAGAAGAAGCCCCGGCUAACUUCGUGCCAGCAGCCGCGGUAAUACGAAGGGGGCAAGCGUUGUUCGGAAUUACUGGGCGUAAAGGGCGUGUAGGCGGUCUAAUCAGUCAGUGGUGAAAGCCCUGGGCUCAACCCAGGAAUUGCCUUUGAUACUGUUAGACUAGAGUUCGGGAGAGGAUAGUGGAAUUCCCAGUGUAGAGGUGAAAUUCGUAGAUAUUGGGAAGAACACCAGUGGCGAAGGCGGCUAUCUGGACCGAUACUGACGCUGAGGCGCGAAAGCGUGGGGAGCAAACAGGAUUAGAUACCCUGGUAGUCCACGCCGUAAACGAUGUCUGCUAGUCGUUGGGGGGCGUAGCCCUUCAGUGGACGCCGCUAACGCAUUAAGCAGACCGCCUGGGGAGUACGGCCGCAAGGUU
rnacentral:rRNA from 1 species